GUUCUCGUAGCUCAGAUGGAUAGAGCGUAGGAUUCCUAAUCCUGAGGUCGUGGGUUCAAAUCCCUCCGGGAACACCA
rnacentral:tRNA from 2 species